rnacentral:tRNA from 1 species
UGGGUUGUGGCUUAGCGGUAGAGCAUUUGCCUAACAAGUAUAAGGCACUGAGUUUGAUCUUCAGCACCACAU